rnacentral:rRNA from 1 species
CACGUAGGGCGCAAGCGUUGUCCGGAAUUAUUGGGCGUAAAGAGCUCGUAGGCGGUCUGUCGCGUCUGGUGUGAAAAUCCAGGGCUUAACCCUGGACCUGCAUCGGGUACGGGCAGACUAGAGUGCGGUAGGGGAGAUCGGAAUUCCUGGUGUAGCGGUGAAAUGCGCAGAUAUCAGGAGGAACACCGGUGGCGAAGGCGGAUCUCUGGGCCGUAACUGACGCUGAGGAGCGAAAGCAUGGGGAGCGAACAGG